rnacentral:hammerhead_ribozyme from 17 species
AAUAGGUACGGGGCUGAUGCUGCCCCGCUGAUGAGGCCAAGCUAUGGCCGAAACCAUC